GAGCUUGACUCUAGUCCG
rnacentral:snRNA from 1 species